GGCUGGUUAGCUCAGUCAGUUGAGCAUAGCGCUAAAAACACUAAGGUCGCGGGUUCAAUUCCCGUUCGGUCC
rnacentral:tRNA from 1 species